UGAGGAAUAUUGGUCAAUGGGCGUAAGCCUGAACCAGCCAUCCCGCGUGCAGGAAGAAGGCGCUAUGCGUCGUAAACUGCUUUUCCAGGGGAAGAAAACCCGCUACGUGUAGCGGCUUGCCGGUACCUUGGGAAUAAGCAUCGGCUAACUCCGUGCCAGCAGCCGCGGUAAUACGGAGGAUGCGAGCGUUAUCCGGAUUUAUUGGGUUUAAAGGGUGCGUAGGCGGAUUAAUAAGUCAGCGGUGAAAACCUUCAGCUUAACUGGAGAACUGCCAUUGAUACUGUUAGUCUUGAGUACGGUCAAGGUAGGCGGAAUGUGUAAUGUAGCGGUGAAAUGCUUAGAUAUUACACAGAACACCGAUUGCGAAGGCAGCUUACUGGGCCAUUACUGACGCUGAGGCACGAAAGCGUGGGGAGCGAACA
rnacentral:rRNA from 1 species